GAGGUUUCCGUCGCUCUGUUGAUUUUUUACUGAGUGCGGCUUCCACGUCUUUCUUGUAGCUUUCGCACGCAUAAAUAAGCCGUCGUGCGCCAUCUGAAGCUUGUCAGGGUGUGGGUUGUGUCAUGAGUUGGUGCCAAAAGACAGUGCGUGUACGAGAGUCAGGCGGCAUCGAGAUGGGCAUCAAGGCGGAGGAAAACGAGACCGAUCCUCGUGAAGAUAUUCUGCGGCAGACUCGAGGGAUCGUGGACCGGACCGGCUGCUACCGCCCAGAGACACCUUUAGAACAUCAUCUGCUGACCAGUCCUGACAUCCCCAUAUAUAUUUUCCAUCCCUUCCAUCAUCGAGGUUCACCUUUUCCAGACUUGCCAUUUUCAUAAUCGAUUCCGUAUAUCUACGCUAGGCUUGGAGUCCGUUUGUUCCCACGUUCAUCUUCAGCUAUCACCGCCCUCUGGUAUUAAACAAUUUUCGCAUUGUUUCUGCGUCGCAAUUACAGGUCGUGUGACGCUAGUACCUCGUCGAAUCCUUCAGCGAUGGUUGCUUUGGCCGACCACCCCAACUAACAUCACAGGUUGCCAAUUGCCACUGAUGCCUGUAAAUCCGACGUCCAUGUAUAGUUUCAGGUUGAGCCAACCGGUGAAGAAGAUAGCUGCUGGCUUUACUCUUUGCAAUGACCGUCGGCCGCGGCAACCUGGUCCGUGCGAUCCCGAUGUCCAUCCGAAUGGCAACGAUCAAAUAUCGAGCACGGUCCGAUAACAAGCCCGUCCGACAGCGAACCUUGGUGUGCGGUCAAGUUAUACGCGUGGAUGGUAAACAGUAUCCUGUUCGCGGAACCUCAGGACAAAGCUCGAGGAACGCCCGGAUUCCGCAGAACCCCGUACAUUUUUAAAAUCGUAUAACGCCGCGAAGAAUUGUUCAGUUCACCCAUAUGCACUGGGGUGAGGUAUCGCAGUUCUUGAAAUUCUUGGAACACCUCAACCCAUCGUCAUGAAUGUAGCUGUUGCUCAACUUGCGUGAAAUACUCUUAUGCCUUGGCAGGUAAAUGUGAGCCAUUUCUAGUGCUCAAUGCAAGAUUUUCCGUUGUGGGCCACAUGACGAAAUGUCGUAUUUCGUGCUUCCUUCACUUUCGCGAUCCCUCACAAAGUAAAUAUGCCUCAAGUGAGAAUUCUGCUCUCGUUGAGCGCGAGAAAACUAUGCGUAAAAUCGAUGCAUCUUCGUCGAGCCGUGUACCUCUUGUACGACUUUAUGCCAGCUAUGGUUAGUCCGGAAGAGUGGCUUAUAUUUUGGAUCCAAGGUAGAUGCAAGCUGUAACACAGUGACAUAAGAGAACAUGUAACUGGGUCGUGACAGAGUUCCCGGUUGUGCGCGCUUGGAGAAACAACGGCGAGGGUGCACGACCAUCUGAAGUGGACACCAUGGGACAUCUGAACCGCGUACAGAGAAGUUCCAGCAGGAGCGAGAGACACAAAUAUAUGAAGUGUACGACAUAGUGCAGGCACGAAACACUUGAGAAAAUAACGCCUGCUUCAGCACCGCGUUAUCGUUAUCGGCUAUCAUUGCUGCGGUAUAUUUUUGGAACGCUGUCGAGGAUUCUUUCACCAAGUGUUGGACGUACGGGAAGUUAAAUAUUGUUCAAUACAGGUAACAUCUGUCGUA